AGCGCCUCCUCCGCCCCCCUGUCAGGUAUGGAAGGAUUGGGGAAAGGACGCCGUGUCCCUGCAGCUGCCCCUGACUGGCCAGCUGACGUUCCUUGAUGUCUCCAGGACCGUGGUGAGGCAGAAGAGGACUCAAGAAGUCACGGUACGUCUUUCGAGGCUACACUUCAGUCUCCUCCUCCUCCUCCUCCUGCAGAAGACGCUGACGGAGGCUUGUUAAGUAUAUUCGCUCACCCGGAUGUGAUCUGCGUCAGGUGUGCCGGCAACAGACUCGGGGGCAGGUGUGCGGCAGGUGUAAAGCAGGUGCGAGGCUGUCAAGGUCGUUGCUGUAAAUGAAGGUAAAGGGCAGAGUACUUUUUUUUAUUUAUUUUAUUACUAUUUGUUUAUUUAUUCAUUUGUUUAUUUUUUUUCU